rnacentral:misc_RNA from 1 species
AACGUUUAGCAACGGAUCUCUUGGUUCUCGCAUCGAUGAAGAACGCAGCGAAUUGCGAUAUGUAAUGAGAAUUGCAGAAUUCAGUGAAUCAUCGAAUCUUUGAACGCACCUUGCGCCUUUUGGUAUUCCGAAGGGCAUGCCUGUUUGAGUGUCAUUAAUAUCUCAACUUCAAAAUUCUUUUAUUUUGAAGGCUUGGAUGUGGAGGUUCAUGCUGGUGAAAUAACUGGUUCCUCUUAAAUACAUUAGCGGACCUUUAUGAAUCGGCUUUGGUUUGAUAAUUAAAAUCUAUGCCAUCGCUGAGGAGUCAGUGUGUCUGCUUCCAACCGUCCUCGGACUGCCUUCUUGGCACUACUUUUAAACUUGACCUCAAAUCAGGUAGGACUACCCGCUGAACUUAAGCAUAUCAAUAAGCGGAGGCU